UACGUAGGGGGCGAGCGUUGUCCGGAUUUAUUGGGCGUAAAGAGCUCGUAGGCGGUGUGUCGCGUCGGCCGUGAAAACCUGCAGCUUAACUGUGGGCUUGCGGUCGAUACGGGCAUCACUGGAGUUCGGCAGGGGAGACUGGAAUUCCUGGUGUAGCGGUGAAAUGCGCAGAUAUCAGGAGGAACACCAAUGGCGAAGGCAGAUCUCUGGGCCGUAACUGACGCUGAGGAGCGAAAGCAUGGGGGGCGAACAGG
rnacentral:rRNA from 1 species